GAUGAACGCUGACAGAAUGCUUAACACAUGCAAGUCGAUGGGGAAGUGGUGCUUGCACCAUGGCAACCAUGGCGGACGGGUGAGUAACGCGUAAGGGACUUACCUGCAGGACUGGGAUAACAGGGGGAAACUCCUGACAAGACCGGAUAAUGUCAUGGAGCUGCAUGGCUUUAUGAUGAAAGGAGACGCCUGCGGAGAGCCUUGCGUCCUAUUAGCUAGUUGGUGAGGUAAUGGCUCACCAAGGCGAAGAUAGGUAGCCGGCCUGAGAGGGUGGACGGCCACAAGGGGACUGAGAUACGGCCCUUACUCCUACGGGAGGCAGCAGUGGUGAAUAUUGGACAAUGGGGGCAACCCUGAUCCAGCAAUUCUGUGUGCACGAAGAAGGUUUUCGGAUUGUAAAGUGCUUUCAGCAGGGAAGAAGUAAGUGACGGUACCUGCAGAAGAAGCGACGGCUAAAUACGUG
rnacentral:rRNA from 1 species